AUUGAACGCUGGCGGCAGGCCUAACACAUGCAAGUCGAACGAGUGGCGGACGGGUGAGUAAUGUCUGGGAAACUGCCCGACGGUGGGGGAUAACUACUGGAAACGGUAGCUAAUACCGCAUACCAUCGGAUUUGCCCAGAUGGGAUUAGCUAGUAGGUUGGGUAAUGGCUCACCUAGGCGACGAUCCCUAGCUGGUCUGAGAGGCUGACCAGCCACACUGUAACUGAGACACGGUCCAGACUCCUACGGGAGGCAGCAGUGGGGACUAUUGCACAAUGGGCGCAAGCCUGAUGCAGCCAUGCCGCGUGUAUGAAGAAGGCCUUCGGGUUGUAAAGUACUUUCAGCGAGGAGGCGUUACUCGCAGAAGAAGCACCGGCUAACUCCGUGCCAGCCGCCGCGGUAAUUC
rnacentral:rRNA from 1 species